UGGUGGGUAGUUUGACUGGGGCGGUCUCCUCCCAAAGUGUAACGGAGGAGCACGAAGGUCAGCUAAUCCUGGUCGGACAUCAGGAGGUUAGUGCAAUGGCAUAAGCUGGCUUGACUGCGAGAGUGACGGCUCGAGCAGGUGCGAAAGCAGGUCAUAGUGAUCCGGUGGUUCUGUAUGGAAGGGCCAUCGCUCAACGGAUAAAAGGUACUCCGGGGAUAACAGGCUGAUACCGCCCAAGAGUUCAUAUCGACGGCGGUGUUUGGCACCUCGAUGUCGGCUCAUCACAUCCUGGGGCUGAAGUAGGUCCCAAGGGUAUGGCUGUUCGCCAUUUAAAGUGGUACGCGAGCUGGGUUUAGAACGUCGUGAGACAGUUCGGUCCCUAUCUGCCGUGGGCGCUGGAGAAUUGAGGGGGGCUGCUCCCAGUACGAGAGGACCGGAGUGGACGCAUCACUGGUGUUCGGGUUGUCAUGCCAAUGGCACUGCCCGGUAGCUAAAUGCGGAAGAGAUAAGUGCUGAAAGCAUCUAAGCACGAAACUUGCCCCGAGAUGAGUUCUCCCUGAGACUUUAAGUCUCCUGA
rnacentral:rRNA from 1 species